AGAAGUGACGGGCCCGCACAAGCAGCGGAGCGUGUGGUUAAUUCGAUGUUACACGAAGAACCUUACCAGGGUUUGACAUGCAAGUGGUAGGAAGCCGAAAGGUGACCGACCCUUCGGGGAGCUUGCACAGGUGCUGCAUGGCUGUCGUCAGCUCGUGUCGUGAGAUGUUCGGUUAAGUCCGCUAACGAGCGCAACCCUCGCUGUGUGUUAUAUGUGUCACACGGGACUGCCGGUCUUAAGCCGGAGGAAGGUGGGGAUGAUGUCAAGUCAGCAUGGCCUUUAUAUCCUGGGCUACACACACGCUACAAUGGCCAACACAAUAGGUUGCUAAGCCGCGAGGUGGCGCCAAUCCAUAAAGUUGGUCUCAGUUCAGAUUGUAGGCUGCAACCCGCCUGCAUGAAGAUGGAGUUGCUAGUAACCGCAGGUCAGCUAUACUGCGGUGAAUACGUUCCCGGGGCUU
rnacentral:rRNA from 1 species